CACUGCGGCCACCCGGCUUGCUGCCUUCCUGGGCGCCACUCCCCCAGGCGACCCGACGCGACGCGCCAGUAGCGCAGCAUCGAUUCCUCUCGGGCUCUUGGGCGCUGCUCUGAGCAGCGUCACCCUUUACACCAGAAAGCUGGCGGGCACUAUGGGGAAAAAACAAAACAAGAAGAAAGUGGAGGAGGUGCUAGAAGAGGAGGAAGAGGAAUAUGUGGUGGAAAAAGUUCUCGACCGUCGAGUGGUAAAGGGCAAAGUGGAGUACCUCCUAAAGUGGAAGGGGUUCUCAGAUGAGGACAACACAUGGGAGCCAGAAGAAAACCUGGAUUGCCCCGACCUCAUUGCUGAGUUUCUGCAGUCACAGAAAACAGCACAUGAGACAAAUCAGAGGGAGGCAAGCGCAAAGCUGAUUCUGAUUCUGAAGAUAAGGGAGAGGAGAGCAAACCAAAGAAGAAGAAAGAAGAGUCAGAAAAGCCACGAGGCUUUGCUCGAGGUUUGGAGCCGGAGCGGAUUAUUGGAGCUACAGACUCCAGUGGAGAGCUCAUGUUUCUGAUGAAAUGGAAAAACUCUGAUGAGGCUGACCUGGUCCCUGCCAAGGAAGCCAAUGUCAAGUGCCCACAGGUUGUCAUAUCCUUCUAUGAGGAAAGGCUGACGUGGCAUUCCUACCCCUCGGAGGAUGAUGACAAAAAAGAUGACGAGAAUUAACGCUCCUGAGUACCAGCCCCUGUCACAUCUGACUGGGUUUCAAGUGGGAAGGGAAGGAGUUCUACUUGUCUUGACACCAUAGAGGUGGCUUGAGAAGAUGUCCUUGAAGAGCCAGUACAGUUUCUGUGCCCUGCAGCAGUCCAAGUGCUUUAAAGCCAUUUCAAGCUGUAUAGUUUGCACACCCAUCCCAGUGGAGGGGAAAGGGGGUAAGUGUUUCAAGGCAACCUUUUCUGCACUUUGCUGAGAAAAGCAAAGGGCCUUCUAUGAAGGACAAAACUUGCAGAAUUGGGUGUGUGGGAGAGCAAAAAAAUACUGUAGAUCUUCAAAGAGCAUCUCCACAACCCACAGCCUUCUUCCCAAUAGUGUUAACUCUGCAUUUUUACAGCGUAGCAUGUGUGUAGUCUUUGGCUAUUACUGGUGUAUUAUUUGGGGGAGGAAUGGGGAGGGGAGAAAGGGAGAUGGGUAGCAUCACUUUGAUUAACAUUUGGGGCCUGAUAGGGGAAAUGGUGAAGCAAUGGAAAAGAACAGACAACUAAUGAUUUGCUUCUAUGUCCAGAAUAUUUUACCUUAAAAAAAAAAAAAUGUCAUUGGCACCAUAAAUAAGGACUGUGAGAGACUGUUUAAAAACUGUGAAUGUCUGAAACCUAUAAGCCAAGGUGUUCCCUGCCUAAACUUAUUGCUGUUCCCACAAAGGACUAAGCCAUUUCAUAAGUUACCAAAGUUGCCAUUUUGGAGAUGGAAAUUGAUGAGGAGGGAAAGUCUUUCAUUGGAGAGUAUACAGUACAAGCAGAUCAUUCUGUCUCAGAGGUGCUAAUAAAAUUAGAAGACCCUUUCUUUUCCAGUAACGAAGUUAUAAAUAUCAGCUUGUUCAUCCAAGCCACUGGCUGAGGUGUUAGGGAAGAGGAAGAGGGUGGUAGAGGAGAUAAGACAGUAGGGAAAGACAAGGGCCCAUGCUUUUAGUGGGGAAAACUCUUGGAGCCGUUCUCUUUUUUGAGCUUUGAACUCUGAAACCAUUGUUGGCUUCAGUCACUGACAGCACAAGUUUCACUGAAUUGAUCUAAGAGUUUAGUGAUUUCAAAAGCCUUGGUCUCAGGAGAAGAUUAAACUUCCAUAUUGGGCAGUGGUUCACUUAAAAACACACACACACACACAAUUUUUUAAGAAAUCCUAAGAAGUAACUGAUACCCAAAAUGCUCUGUCUUGAGUCAUGAGAUUCAUCAGUUCUUGAUAUUGUCUAGACUUGCAUCUAGAGCUACAUUGUAAAAUCCUUUUAGGCAUGUGUUAGAUUUCUGUGUAAACUUUGUUUAAAUGUAAACUUCAUACUACACUGUCAGUUUUUGUCUUAAUAAAACUAUAGGUUUAUA